rnacentral:lncRNA from 10 species
GUUCUGAUGUGGUGGAUGGAACACGCCUGUAAUGAAAUAGGAUAAAUGGUCAGGAGAGCAACUAGUGAGUCGUAUGAAGACCUGAAGAUUGUGACUAAAAGACUGUUGAGCAUGAAGAUGUCUAUUUCCCCCAUUCAAGAAGAAUGUAAGGUCAUCUUUGGAGUCAUGUGUCUCGGUGUCAGGUUAUUUAUGGAAGAACCUGUAGGACCAAGCAUUUGCAAGGGCACAGGUGGAUGUACUGGCAUUUACCAAAGGGAGUGUUUAAUAAGAACCAUUCUUCAAACAGAAUUACAGGCACUAAUAAAAGUGUGAAUAAUGAACCAGUAAUCUUUCAAGAUUCACUGAGGACUGAGUCUGUGCCCCUGUGAAUGGAUGUGAAACCUAAGUAAACAUAAUGAAGCCUGCUUGGAGAGGUGGGAAAAGUAGCGGGGAGAGAUAUGUGAUAGUCUGACUCUCCUGAAAGGCACUACUCUUAGGAGUGUACCAUAGAGAGACAAUUUUCUUGUCAGAUGCUGUUAAAAAAACUUGAUUACUCCACCCAGAAUGUAUAUGGAGCUGGACUGCCUGGGUUUGAACCCCAGCUCAGCUACUUACUAGCUGUAUGACUUAGCACUCAAAAAUAAGCUAUUAUCCUUUUCAGGCUAGACACAGCUCUGGGGAGACAGUCCUCAGCCAUACGGAAGAAAGCUUGCAUACAGCACUGAUCCCCUGGUAACAGAGCAGCUUCUGAUAAUGGGGUGACAUCUAGUUGGCAGUAAAGACCUCCAGGAAAGAAAAAUAAAAGAACUGGUUCCUGGCAGAGGAAAAACCACAUAGUCUAGUGCAAGAACAGUCAAUAUGGGAAUAACCACGCCCCAGAAAGCAUGCUGGUUGCUGACCAGGGCCCUGGUUCCCAAGGAACAGUGUCCAUGAGGAACAGUGUCCACUGACUGGUUCAGAGGCAGACUAGCUGGCAUUGUUAAAAGCAGAACUUUGGGGGUCAGGUUUUUGAGGGCUGGUGUAGCCUGACACUUAAAACUCCUCACUCUGUGCUCUGUGGCACUGCCUGAGAGACUUGAAGAUGGAGUCAUUUAUCCUUUCACAUGACGCAGUCACUUAGAUCGCGGCAACAAGAGCUUCUUAUGUCAACCAGCGUGAUUGUCUCAACCCAAACAACAAUAAAAAGGUUUUGAUGGAA